rnacentral:misc_RNA from 1 species
AAAGAAAUAUAAAAAAUUUUUCGAGUUCUUAACAGAGCAUGUUCCAUGGUUAACUCGAAGAGUCCUUAUUAAAUGGUGGGAUAAAUGUGAGUUCUUUGAAGCACCUUCAAUUUACUCCUCCAAAAGACUAAUUCAUCUGGCUAAAAAGCCAUCAGUAUCUAGUCCAUCGAUCUCUUCUAAUUUAACCGACCUAUUCAGUUUUUACCGAAUUAAUUUCUUAUCUUAAUUCUUUUAUAGUUGGUUCUC